UACGAAGGGGGCUAGCGUUGCUCGGAAUCACUGGGCGUAAAGCGCACGUAGGCGGCUUCUCAAGUCAGGGGUGAAAUCCUGGAGCUCAACUCCAGAACUGCCUUUGAUACUGAGGGGCUCGAGUCCGGGAGAGGUGAGUGGAACUGCGAGUGUAGAGGUGAAAUGCGCAGAUAUCAGGAAGAACACCCGUGGCGAAGGCGGCUCUCUGGAACGCAACUGACGCUGAGGCGCGAAAGCGUGGGGAGCAAACAGG
rnacentral:rRNA from 1 species